UGUCAUCCUUUUUUAUUCAAGUUGAUGUAAUGCAGAAACACACUCUGGAAUGCCUAAAAAUGUCCAGAAUGCAUCUGCAAAUUUGAGGGUAUUUGUAAUUAGUAUAAAUAAUUACCUUCAACCAGGAAAAAAGAUUUUGUUUAGCUAUAAUUUACGUUCCUGCAGCCUAUACUGUACCUCUGUGUCAUUCCUCGGGAACACAGGAACCUCAAGGUGAACUGGGCGGGGUCGGAAUCUGAUCUUUGUUGCUGCAGAAACCACAUCCUGAGUUUCUAAAUCAGGCAACAUCAUCCAUACAGUACAUGGAGAAUAUGAGACAGUUCUGCAGCCACCGCCGGAUGUAAAGAUGCACACACCCACAUAAAAAUGGCAUACAGAGCUGUCCACUUAGAAUGCAAAUAUCCCCUGCUGCUGAACUCUUAGUAUGCUAAUAAGCUUUGAAAAAGCAGUGUCACUAUUCUGAUGAAUAUGCAUGAGUGGCCAAGUGAGGGUGACCUGUAGGAUUGAGACGGAGGUCUUGAGAGGUGGGAUGUCAGCAGUGAGACCACAGCUCCCAUGGGACCUGAAUGGACAGAAAAGAACACAUUCACAGUAAUGAUUAACUUACACACCAACACACACAUACACCUAUGCCAACCUCAUCUUGCCCCACCCUCUGUGUUUUUGCCUCUUGAUCCAGCUUUCACACACCUGCCUUCACUGUUCUUGAAGCCUCAAGUGCAGUUGGACCUAAGAACUAAAGGGCACCGCUCUGAUUCAAAGCGUUUUCAUUUUCUCUGCAUCUUUGUUGGAGUUGUUAUUUUUCCAGUUAAGAAACAAAAAGGAGAAUCUGUUGGUUUGAACUCUGUUGCCGUGACAUCUGAACACAGUUCAUCUUGUUUACUCCUUCAAUAAUGAACCAUCAAACUGCAAGGAGCAACUCAUCCUCUCCCCCUGUGGUGUCAAAACCAACAACACCCCCAGGUCAAAAACAACCUGGCAGCCAAAAUCCCAGCAAGUUUAUGCAUGAACUCCAAAAUAUCCAGAGUGAGUUGACCACCUUUCAUGCACAAGGCUUAUCACAGACAUUAAAACAAAAUUCAUGCAACUAUUUGGGGUUUAUGAAGAUAAGUGGUAAAGAAUCACAAUGUUUUUACAAUAUGAAUAAACAUAAACAUAAAUUGUUUAAGCUACUUUGUGUUUGUGAAUGAUAAAGGGAUCUUCUCAUAAACAACAUAUAGAAAGACACACAUAGGAUUUUGGCAUUAACAUCAUCAUGCUGAAUCAUUCCAAUUAAAGUUUAAACUCUAAGUUUCCUAUAAAUCACACACAUAUAAAAUAUUGCUACUUUUGACAUUCCCUGUAUUUUAUAAUUGUCUGAUAUUGUUGAGUAAAUCAAACUCACCUUAAUUGAUUGUACACUUUGC
rnacentral:lncRNA from 1 species